GGUUCCAUGGUGUAAUGGUUAGCACUUUCGACUUGUAAUCGAAUGUGUUUCGAUCUGAGUUCAUAUCUCGGUUGAACCU